CGUAGGGUGCGAGCGUUAAUCGGAAUUACUGGGCGUAAAGCGUGCGCAGGCGGUUUUGUAAGACAGAUGUGAAAUCCCCGGGCUCAACCUGGGACCUGCAUUUGUGACUGCAAGGCUAGAGUACGGUAGAGGGGGAUGGAAUUCCGCGUGUAGCAGUGAAAUGCGUAGAUAUGCGGAGGAACACCGAUGGCGAAGGCAAUCCCCUGGACCUGUACUGACGCUCAUGCACGAAAGCGUGGGGAGCAAACAGGAUUAGAUACCCUGGUAGUCCACGCCCUAAAACGAUGUCAACUGGUUGUUGGGUCUUUACUGACUCAGUAACGAAGCUAACGCGUGAAGUUGACCGCCUGGGGAGUACGGCCGCAAAGGUUGA
rnacentral:rRNA from 1 species